AAAUGCAUUACAGGGCAAGUUCUCUUUGGCAGUUUUCCACUAUUAUAUAUGCAUGCAUCUCAACCAUGCAUCAAAUAAUUAUUUUUAGCGUGUAACCUGCCAAAGGAGAUUUGUCCAGUGAUUAUCUU